GACGAACGCUGGCGGCGUGCCUAAUACAUGCAAGUCGAACGCAAAACUUUCACCGAAUGCUUGCAUUCACGAAAGUUUUGAGUGGCGAACGGGUGAGUAACACGUGGGUAACCUGCCCAGAAGAGGGGGAUAACACUUGGAAACAGGUGCUAAUACCGCAUAAUAACAAAAACCGCAUGGUUUUUGUUUGAAAGAUGGUUUUGCUAUCACUUCUGGAUGGACCCGCGGCGUAUUAGCUAGUUGGUAAGGUAAAGGCUUACCAAGGCAAUGAUACGUAGCCGAACUGAGAGGUUGAUCGGCCACAUUGGGACUGAGACACGGCCCAAACUCCUACGGGAGGCAGCAGUAGGGAAUCUUCCACAAUGGACGAAAGUCUGAUGGAGCAACGCCGCGUGAGUGAAGAAGGUUUUCGGAUCGUAAAACUCUGUUGUUAGAGAAGAACGUGUGUGAGAGUAGCUGCUCAUGCAGUGACGGUAUCUAACCAGAAAGCCACGGCUAACUACGCGCCAGCCGCCGCAGUAA
rnacentral:rRNA from 1 species